rnacentral:rRNA from 1 species
AGAGUUUGAUCCUGGCUCAGAAUGAACGUUGGCGGCGUGGAUUAGGCACGCAAGUCGAGCGAGAAGUUUACUUCGGUAAAUGGACAGCGGCGAAAGGGACAGUAAUGUGUAGGUACCUACCCCCCGAUCUGGGAUAGCUGCGGGAAACUGCAGGUAAUACCGGAUAAUGUCUUCGGACCAAAGGUGUGAUUCCGUCAGGGGAGGGGCCUGCAUCCUAUUAGCUUGUUGGUGAGGUAAUGGCUCACCAAGGCAACGAUGGGUAGCGGGUGUGAGAGCAUGACCCGCGUCAUUGGGACUGAGACACUGCCCAGACAUCUACGGAUGGCUGCAGUCGAGAAUCUUCGGCAAUGGGCGAAAGCCUGACCGAGCGACGCCGCGUGCGGGAUGAAGGCCCUCGGGUUGUAAACCGCUGUCGUUGGGGAGGAAAUGCAAAAGGGUUAUCCCUUUUGUUUGACCGAUCCAAGGAGGAAGUACGGGCUAAGUUCGUGCCAGCAGCCGCGGUAAGACGAACCGUACGAACGUUAUUCGGAAUUACUGGGCUUAAA